CAAAAGUUUAUAAGUCACGAUUUAUUUAUUGGUCACAAAUCACAAACGUAAUAACUCACAACUUAUUAUACAAUUACAAAUUAUCAAAUUAUCGAUCACAAAUUAACAAUUUUUUAAGUCACGCAUAAUUUUUUGAUCACAAGCACUCUUCAUCCCAUCCCGUUACUGUCAUCGCCACAACCACUACCAACAAUAACAACACAACAUCACCACCUCACGAGUAUCACCAUCACCAAUCAAAUUUGAACCUACCAACCCACCACGCACCAUGUCUACACCACAACUAGUCAAACACCACACAUCGACAGUGUCCACCACCAUGCCAACACCACAGCACACGCACCAACCACCACCUUUGCUGCCAAUAACACCACCACCAAAUACAUCGCCGUUGCAUCCCAUCCCACAACUGCCUGUCCCAACCACUCAUUAUCUUCACCUUCACCUGCAACUCCAAUAAAAUACCACAUCAUCGUCACCACCGAUUGCCUGCUAGAAACCACCAACUCAUACAACACUACUACCACAUCAUAGCCACCAUCCUCAACAACAAAAACCCCAAACACGCAACAAUCACUAACAAAAAUACACCAAAACUUCGGUAAGGAAACAGAUCGGAGAAAGCAAACCACCACAAAAAGGGACUUCGAUGGCAUGGACCUUAUCAACAGAUUGGAAGGAGAAAUCGCAUCGCCAUCACCAUCAUUGUAAGUACCACAAUUAGCGGCUACGAUACUGCUUCGAGCAUGCGCAUCAACCUUCACAAGCUGCGCCCAUCAACUAUUACAAAUAGAGUAUGGAGGAGGGAAGAGUGAGAGAAGAGGAGGAGAUGAGUGAGAAAGAGCAGAGGCGGUGGUGGCACACGGUGGCAGCGGAGGGUGCUGACCGCUUCUCACGACUAUAGCACACGACUACUCCUUCAAUAGAGAAAAUGGAGAAGGGAGGAGGGAGAAAGAAAGGAAAG
rnacentral:lncRNA from 1 species